GCCCAGCUUGCUGGGUGGAUUAGUGGCGAACGGGUGAGUAACACGUGAGUAACCUGCCCUUGACUCUGGGAUAAGCCUGGGAAACUGGGUCUAAUACCGGAUAGGAACGUCCACCGCAUGGUGGGUGUUGGAAAGAUUUAUCGGUCAUGGAUGGACUCGCGGCCUAUCAGCUUGUUGGUGAGGUAAUGGCUCACCAAGGCGACGACGGGUAGCCGGCCUGAGAGGGUGACCGGCCACACUGGGACUGAGACGCGGCCCAGACUCCUACGGGAGGCAGCAGUGGGGAAUAUUGCACAAUGGGCGAAAGCCUGAUGCAGCGACGCCGCGUGAGGGAUGACGGCCUUCGGGUUGUAAACCUCUUUCAGUAGGGAAGAAGCGAAAGUGACGGUACCUGCAGAAGAAGCACCGGCUAACUACGUGCCAGCAGCCGCGGUAAUACGUAGGGUGCGAGCGUUAUCCGGAAUUAUUGGGCGUAAAGAGCUCGUAGGCGGUUUGUCGCGUCUGUCGUGAAAGUCCGGGGCUUAACCCCGGAUCUGCGGUGGGUACGGGCAGACUAGAGUGCAGUAGGGGAGACUGGAAUUCCUGGUGUAGCGGUGGAAUGCGCAGAUAUCAGGAGGAACACCGAUGGCGAAGGCAGGUCUCUGGGCUGUAACUGACGCUGAGGAGCGAAAGCAUGGGGAGCGAACAGGAUUAGAUACCCUGGUAGUCCAUGCCGUAAACGUUGGGCACUAGGUGUGGGGACCAUUCCACGGUUUCCGCGCCGCAGCU
rnacentral:rRNA from 1 species